rnacentral:rRNA from 1 species
UUGAACGCUGGCGGCAGGCCUAACACAUGCAAGUCGAGCGGAAACGACAACAUUGAAUCUUCGGAGGAUUUGUUGGGCGUCGAGCGGCGGACGGGUGAGUAAUGCCUAGGAAAUUGCCUUGAUGUGGGGAAUAACCAUUGGAAACGAUGGCUAAUACCGCAUAAUGCCUACGGGCCAAAGAGGGGGACCUUCGGGCCUCUCGCGUCAAGAUAUGCCUAGGUGGGAUUAGCUAGUUNGUGAGGUAAUGGCUCACCAAGGCGACGAUCCCUAGCUGGUCUGAGAGGAUGAUCAGCCACACUGGAACUGAGACGCGGUCCAGACUCCUACGGGAGGCAGCAGUGGGGAAUAUUGCACAAUGGGCGAAAGCCUGAUGCAGCCAUGCCGCGUGUAUGAAGAAGGCCUUCGGGUUGUAAAGUACUUUCAGUUGUGAGGAAGGGUGUGUAGUUAAUAGCUGCGCAUCUUGACGUUAGCAACAGAAGAAGCACCGGCUAACUCCGUGCCAGCAGCCGCGGUAAUAC